rnacentral:piRNA from 1 species
UGGAUGUCACUUCAGAUUGCUUCUGCUGUU